GAAAUGCGAUAACUAGUGUGAAUUGCAGAAUUCCGUGAAUCAUCGAGUCUUUGAACGCACAUUGCGCCCCCUGGUAUUCCGGGGGGCAUGCCUGUCCGAGCGUCAUUGCUGCCCAUCAAGCACGGCUUGUGUGUUGGGUCGUCGUCCCCUCUCCGGGGGGGACGGGCCCCAAAGGCAGCGGCGGCACCGCGUCCGAUCCUCGAGCGUAUGGGGCUUUGUCACCCGCUCUGUAGGCCCGGCCGUCGCUUGCCGAACGCAAAUCAAUCUUUUUCCAGGUUGACCUCGGAUCAGGUAGGGAUACCCGCUGAACUUAAGC
rnacentral:misc_RNA from 1 species